rnacentral:lncRNA from 1 species
AAAGCAGCCGAUCUCCCUUCCCUGCCUCUCUCGGUGGCUUUGGGCAGCGUUACCCCACCGGUGUUGCGUAGGGUCGGGGGAUUGCACGGGGAACCCCUGCCCGGUGCGUUGGUGCUGCAGAUGGCGGUGGUGUCGCCGACGCUGCGGGUGUCCCCGAGGCGUUCUCACCUCCUGGUGGCAGUGCCAGCCCGGCCCGAGGCGGGGUGCGGCAGUGGUUCUGCCCUACAGGCCGUCCCCGUGAAAAGCACCUUAGGAUCAGCCUGAAGUGAAGGCGCAUCCUCGGCGGGCCGGGAUGAGUCACGGCGGCGGCAGCAGCGCUGGAAGAGCAUCAGCACACGAUCCCCCCCGAGGCUCCGCGGCUCCGCAUCGCCCUCCGCCAGCGGUUCCGCUCCGCACGCACGCAGCUCUCUGCCCUCGGGAAAUGCCACGUCCUCCUGCCAGGUGGAGGAGCAGCGAGGUGGGCGCCGGCCCAGCAGGUGACAGUGGGACCGCAGCGCCGCAGCCCCAAACCGACCCCCUCCAUCCCCCCCUCGUAACGCAGGAGCUCAGCGCCACGGUCCUCAAGCAGCAGCGGUUAACUCCCUGAUUACACACCCUGCACGGCCAGGCCGCUUUGAGGAGUGCAAUUAAUUAACGUUUGCAUCCCUGGCGCUUGCUGACCCUGCCAGACUCGGAGCAAAUCGGCCUCUGCCGACGGGUAAUGGGUUUGCUGCAGGACGAGCUAUUUCCGAGCCGGCUUUGGAAGUCAUUUGGGGUGGCUGCCGGGCGGUGCAGCCCCGUGUUGGCUGCUGGGGCUCAUCCGGAGCUCGGGGCAAUGGGGCAAUGGGGCAGAGGUGCAGAGGGAGCAAAGCAGAGCUGUGGGGUCAGCGUGGGUCGUGCUGGGGUGCUGCUCUGGGGGCAAUGCAGGCGGGCUGGAAAGCACACACAGGUUUCCCUUGCGCAGCACAAACCCCAUCGCGUGGGUGGCACGGGUGGGAGGCAGAGGAUGCGGGGACGGGACAUGGGGGUGAGCUCCCAGCCCAGAGAGGGGCAAACCCCAAUAAACGAAUGGGC